AACUGGAAGGAUCUCAAAGAGGCAUAAAAAGGAUUGAGGCUAUAGACAGGAUGUAUCAAGACAUUAACGAGAGGACAUUUAACCUACAGCAGCCAGGCUGGACAUGAAGGUUCUGGAUGGGUGACAGGAUGGAUGGACAGAGCUGCUCUUGAUGAAAGAGGUGAUGAACCUGACCUUAUAGAAGUACACCUGCUGCCAGGCUACCUGAAGUACACUGAAAGAAACAACACGAAUACCCUC